UGUUAGAAGGAGAGUACUCUAAGUAGGAGGCUCUGAAGAAAGAGUCUCUAAGGAGUCUCUUGGGAGAGGCUCUUGAGGACAGGCAGAAGAAUCCCUCUCUGGAGAAGAAUGGCUGGCUGAACUGGUGUCUAUAUCCUUGCUUAGACAGACCUUGUGGUUUGUUGGACAUGAUAAUUCCUAAGACCUCCCAUGAAUAUUGACACAUCAAGUUUCUAAAAGCCUGAAAGCUUGUGCAUAUAUCUCAUCUCAUUGAUUUCUGAAGAGUUGCCAGAAUUCAGAUAUCAGGGACUGCAUUAAAAGCAAAGAGCCUUCUGUUAUAUAUAGAGGGAAAGGAAAGCAAAGCAAAACAAAAACAACACUUCUUUUUACUCAGAUGCUGGACAGAGGGAGGAACAAAAAAUAUUCUUGGUCUUGGGAAGAGGAAGAAUGGAGCAGCUCAUCCAGUGCCAGCUGGCAGCAUGUGCCAAUACUUCUCCAGUGGUGAUCUAAGACAACUUGUUUGGAGUCUUUGGUGGAAUACUUCAACAAUUUUUUCUUGGUCUUGUGUCUUCACAGUGUUAUCACUGAAUUAACUAAAAGCCUAGGUGGUAUUCUCAGAAUUUUAGAUGAUGCAAAGCUAAUAAUUAAUAAUUACCAAGGCUUCUUAGUGGUGUCUGAUCUGAACUAUACUACAAAAGAGGCAUUAAAUUAUUUGUUACAAAGGAUUUAAUAGACUAUAACUUUUGAGCAAAUAUAAUAUUUUUUAAAAAAUUUAAAUUAAUUUAUUUAGUCAAUUUAAAACCUUAU
rnacentral:lncRNA from 1 species